AAGACUCUGAACCCUCUCUAACCUGGUAAUACCAGACACCUCUCUUCUUUGGUCUCCAGCAUCUCCUUCUGAAUCACUAUGUCAGCUUUGCAAAGAGAAGGGAGAGGAAGAAGUGAUCUGCAACAGCCAAAAAAGCUUGGUGGAGUGGAUGGAAGAUGAAUGACAGCAGUUGCAAUGCAGCCUUGGGGAACGGCUCCAGAGCUGUUCUUAACAACUCCUUUACCUCUAAGCCAGGAAAAAAAAAAUACUUCUAAAACCAUCAGACAAGAU
rnacentral:lncRNA from 1 species